GUGUUUGAAAAAUAAAAUGUGCUUUCAGAUCAAAGAUACCUUUGACCUGUCACCCUACACUGAAGGAAUCCUCAACUGUCACCCUACACUGAAGGAAUCCUCAACUGUGGCUACACUGAAGGAAUCCUCAACUGUCACCCUACACUGAAGGAAUCCUCAACUGUCACCCUACACUGAAGGAAUCCUCAACUGUCACCCUACACUGAAGGAAUCCUCAACUGUCACCCUACACUGAAGGAAUCCUCAACUGUCACCCUACACUGAAGGAAUCCUCAACUGUCACCCUACACUGAAGGAAUCCUCAACUGUCACCCUACACUGAAGGAAUCCUCAACUGUCACCCUACACUGAAGGAAUCCUCAACUGUCACCCUACGCUGAAUUCCAUUAUUCUUACAUUGCAACAACCCACAAUUUGUGUCAACUGAUUUAAUUUAAUAUGUUUCAAACGAAUUAGUUUUUAGAGUACAUUAUCAUGACCAUUCAUACAAGAGCACCAAGGUUUCUGCAGUAAGAUAUGCAAAUCUCAAUGAAUGUCGAUGUCUCUUCCGUUUCAUUUUUUAAAGAGACAUUUUGCUGCAUUUAGCCACAAAACGUACAGCGAUGCUUCAGCAGCUGCAUGAAGGCCUGAUGUCUACAUCUUAAUUGAGGUCAUGCAGAAGAAACCGAAGGAAUGUCUCAAUCUCUUUGUGAUUGGCGAUGAUGACAUGGUUGAUGCACACUACAUAAUCUCAAACCUGGCCCCAGAGAUGAGUGAAUGUGGUUCUCCAAAACAAAAGGAGACAGAAAUCUUGGAUUUCUUUCAAGAUUUCCUCCAAGAACUUGAUGAUGGAAAAGUGAGCCUCUCUGUG